rnacentral:rRNA from 1 species
GGAAUAUUGGACAAUGGGCGCAAGCCUGAUCCAGCCAUGCCGCGUGCAGGAUGACGGUCCUAUGGAUUGUAAACUGCUUUUGUACAGGAAGAAACACUCCGACGUGUCGGAGCUUGACGGUACUGUAAGAAUAAGGAUCGGCUAACUCCGUGCCAGCAGCCGCGGUAAUACGGAGGAUCCAAGCGUUAUCCGGAAUCAUUGGGUUUAAAGGGUCCGUAGGCGGUUUAAUAAGUCAGUGGUGAAAGCCCAUCGCUCAACGGUGGAACGGCCAUUGAUACUGUUAGACUUGAAUUAUUAGGAAGUAACUAGAAUAUGUAGUGUAGCGGUGAAAUGCUUAGAGAUUACAUGGAAUACCAAUUGCGAAGGCAGGUUACUACUAAUUGAUUGACGCUGAUGGACGAAAGCGUGGGUAGCGAACAGGAUUAGAUACCCGAG